UAAGAAAAGAGAUGGUCCAGGUGUGGUGUGGACAGCUGACAGGUGAGGAAGGGAUAGUCCAGGUGUGGUGUGGACAGUUGACAGGUGAGGAAGGGAUGGUCCAGGUGUGGUGUGGACAGCUGACAGACAGAUGAGGAUGGGAUGGUUCAGGUGUGGUGUGGACAGCUGACAGACAGGUGAGGAAGGGAUGGUCCAGGUGUGGUGUGGACAGCUGACAGGUGAGGAAGGGAUGGUCUAGGUGUGGUGUGGACAGUUGACAGACAGGUGAGGAAGGGAUGGUCUAGGUGUGGUGUGGACAGUUGACAGACAGGUGAGGAUGGGAUGGUCCAGGUGUGGUGUGGAUAGCUGACAGACAGGUGAGGAAGGGAUGGUCCAGGUGUGGUAUGGACAGCUGACAGACAGGUGAGGAUGGGAUGGUUCAGGUGUGGUGUGGACAGUUGACAGACAGGUGAGGAAGGGAUGGUCCAGGUGUGGUGUGGACAGUUGACAGCCAUGGGUCAGGAUGAGAGAUAGUACAUUUGUAUGUGUGUCCUUGUGUAAAUAGAUUUUAUAUCCUUGUACUAAAUAUAUCUUCAUGCUGAAGUAAAUCCCAGAUCAAGGAUUGAG